CGGAGGAAGGUGGGGAUGACGUCAAAUCAUCAUGCCCCUUAUGACCUGGGCUACACACGUGCUACAAUAGGGCGGGUACAAAGGGUACGCGAACCCGCGAGGGGGAGCCAAUCCCAAAAAGCCGCUCUCAGUUCGGAUUGCAGGCUGCAACUCGCCUGCAUGAAGCCGGAAUCGCUAGUAAUCGCGGAUCAGCAUGCCGCGGUGAAUACGUUCCCGGGCCUC
rnacentral:rRNA from 1 species